UACGUAGGGGGCAAGCGUUGUCCGGAUUUAUUGGGCGUAAAGCGCGUGUAGGCGGCUUUGCAAGUCGGGUGUGAAAGCCCUCAGCUCAACUGAGGAAGUGCGCCCGAAACUGCAGAGCUUGAGUACCGGAGAGGGUGGCGGAAUUCCCCAAGUAGAGGUGAAAUUCGUAGAUAGGGGGAGGAACACCGGUGGCGAAGGCGGC
rnacentral:rRNA from 1 species